rnacentral:rRNA from 1 species
UCUUGGGUCAAUUUAGAGGAAGUAAAAGUCGUAACAAGGUUUCCGUAGGUGAACCUGCGGAAGGAUCAUUACUAGAGCAAAGGACAGACAGCGCCCGCGGAGCUCGCUCCCGGGGCCACCCUACUCCGGUAGGGUUUAGAGUCGUCGGGCCUCUCGGAGAAGCUCGGUCCUGAACUCCACCCUUGAAUAAACUACCUUUGUUGGUUUGGCGGGCCGCUUCGUGCCAGCGGCUUCGGCUGUUGAGUGCCCGCCAGAUGUCCACAACUCUUGUUUUUAGUGAUGUCUGAGUACUAUAUAAUAGUUAAAACUUUCAACAACGGAUUUCUUGGUUGUGGCAUGGAUGAAGAACGCAGCGAAAUGCGAUAAGUAAUGUGAAUUGCAGAAUUCAGUGAAUCAUCGAAUCUUUGAACGCACAUUGCGCCCUCUGGUAUUCCGGGGGGCAUGCCUGUUCGAGCGUCAUUAUAACCACUCAAGCUCUCGCUUGGUAUUGGGGUUCGCGGUUUCGCGGCCCCUAAAAUCAGUGGCGGUGCCUGUCGGCUUUACGCGUAGUAAUACUCCUCGCGAUUGAAGUCUCCCCGGGCAGCUGUCUACUUGCCUAGCAACCUCUAAUUUUUUAAGGUUGAUCCGUCCGCAGUUCAGGUAGGGAUACCCGCUGAACUUAAGCAUAUCAA